AGAUGCGACACGACCACUACGUAGAUGCAUAAAAUGAAUGACAAAAUGUAUGAGCCGACCAACUAUAAAGGUUCCUAAGUAGACCUAAUGCAUGAAAUGAAUUCACAAUUGCAAAGUAGAUGCUCAAUAUAAACUAAAACUACUCCCUAGCAAAUAGUUAUUGCAAACUGAAAAUUAAUAUAAGACGCAGGCUAAUAAGUAGCUGCAAACAAGUAGUACCAAGUUCUCGGACUAUGCAAGGUGUCACGGAGCCACAUAUGUCUCUCCGAUUUG
rnacentral:lncRNA from 1 species